GGAAUGCUGUCGAGGUUUGAGCAAAUUUUUUUUCAAAAUUGCUGGAGAAAUUCCCUUUGGUCGAAUCUAAUAUAUGCAGGUCGAGUCAAACUUAUUUCGGAUGAUCCCUGAACCCGAAUGACACGCACCCCAUUCAUCCCAACUCUAUUGUUUCUUUCACAUCCAAUUGAGCUCGACUUUUCAUGUUCUAACAUUUUGUCCCAAAAUCUCCUACGUUGCAAUGUUUAAGCCCAUAUCACGUUCAUUAGACUUUAUCCCGGUUGAAACCAGCCAUUCCAGUCAUCUCUUCAUUACACGUCAUCAUGCAAAUCCCCUUCAUUCCAUCUCAACUUUGUGGAUUUUCCUCCACGUCCUUCCCAACUCCCGUAUUCCAAAGUCCACAGCCGGAACAGAGCCGAGACCCACGGACCAGCAUUUCGCAUCUCCCCUUGCAUCCCGACUUGGCCACACCCUCAACGUCUUCCGCUAGAUCCCAGUCAAAAUAAGCUUUCCAGAUUUCCUAUCAUCCUUAUCCAAAGCCGAGACCCAUUCCCUGUUUCUGGAUCAUCUCCCAACCGGAUCCCCAACUCCACACUCCCUACAAAUCCAACCAAACUCCCAGCCGAGAUCUUCUCAGCUCCCCCUCGCGCCUGUUCCCAUAAGCCACGUCUUCUUUCGGAUCGAUCUCACAUCCUUAUCCCUUCCGUGUUCAAAGCUCCAGCUUAUCUAUGCUUCAGCCGAUAACCAAACGCAUCCUCCCAGCAUCCUCUUCCUUCGAAACAGAGUACCAGCCAUCAGCCGAAUCCAGCUCCUCCCAACAUCCAAGAUCUUCUUCCGGACUCCCAGCUUCCACCGUGAAAAUCUUCAUCCCGUUCGCGUUCGGAUAUGCUUGAUUCAACUAUCCACAUGAGAAAUCUCACACGGUAUCUCCCUUGUUCUUGCAAUCAACCUUAUCCCAACAUCUCAGCAACCAUCCUUUACCGUCCACAUCAUCCUAAAUCCCAGCAUCCCCUGUUCCCAAUUGGAUGAACAUUCCAAACAACCACUCCCAGAACCAAGUUCAGAUCCCAUCCUCUCCACGAUAGCUUCUUUCUGAGCUUCACGGCAUCCAAAUGCAUCUUCCCCUGUUUCAAAACUAUCAACCUAGUGUUCCGAAUUGAUCUUCUUCAAGAUUCCUCCCACGUCCACGAACAAACUUCCCUGCAUCCUCAUCCCGUGAACAACCAAACUAUCCUCCCCUGUUUCAACUUCAACGUCCUCAACCGAACCCAACAAUCUCCCAGCCAUCUUUCGGAUCCCAUGGAAUCUCCUAGCAUCCCACAGUCAGCCUCCGAGAUUAUUCCCAGCCGUCUUCUAGAUUAAUCCCAGCCAACUGCAAAUCAAAGUCAUCCUUAUCCCCUGCGUGAUAACAGAGGCUGUGAAGGCUAUAAAAGGGAAUCAAUGCAUGCAAGCUAGAGGCAUUCCUCCUCUCCCCCACCGGGGGGCAUUCCCUCUUCCCCCACUAGGGGGAGGCUUCUCCCAACUCUCUUCACAGGCCAAGUUUCCACUGGGAGAAGAAGAGCUCGGUUUCACAGGUGAAGUUCCCACGGAAGAAGAUGAAAUAACAGGAGAGAGAAGAGUUUGGGUCUUUUUGGGAAUGCCUUCUCAAAAGAAA